AAAUGAAUAGACGGGAGCCCGCACAAGCAGUGGAGUAUGUGGUUUAAUUCGAUGCAACGCGAAGAACCUUACCAGGACUUGACAUCCUAAGAAGGCCGAGUAAAGUUGGCUGUGCCCUUCGGGGAGCUUAGAGACAGGUGGUGCAUGGUUGUCGUCAGCUCGUGUCGUGAGAUGUUGGGUUAAGUCCCGCAACGAGCGCAACCCUUACGGUUAGUUGCUACGCAAGAGCACUCUAGCCGGACUGCCGUUGACAAAACGGAGGAAGGUGGGGACGACGUCAAAUCAUCAUGCCCCUUACGUUCUGGGCUACACACGUACUACAAUGGCGUAAACAGAGGGGAGCAAGGGAGCGAUCCGGAGCAAAUCCCAAAAAUACGCCCCAGUUCAGAUUGCAGGCUGCAACUCGCCUGCAUGAAGUCGGAAUUGCUAGUAAUCGCGAAUCAGCAUGUCGCGGUGAAUACGUUCCCGGGCUUUGUACACACCGCCCGU
rnacentral:rRNA from 1 species